rnacentral:rRNA from 1 species
AUUGAACGCUGGCGGAAUGCUUUACACAUGCAAGUCGAGCGGCAGCGCGGGGCAACCUGGCGGCGAGCGGCGAACGGGUGAGUAAUGCAUCGGAACAUGUCCAUGUCGUGGGGGAUAGCCCGGCGAAAGCCGGAUUAAUACCGCAUACGCUCGAGAGAGGAAAGCCGGGGACCGCAAGGCCUGGCGCGAUUGGGUUGGCCGAUGUCCGAUUAGCUAGUUGGUGAGGUAAAGGCUUACCAAGGCGAUGAUCGGUAGCUGGUCUGAGAGGAUGAUCAGCCACACUGGGACUGAGACACGGCCCAGACUCCUACGGGAGGCAGCAGUGGGGAAUUUUGGACAAUGGGGGCAACCCUGAUCCAGCCAUUCCGCGUGAGUGAAGAAGGCCUUCGGGUCGUAAAGCUCUUUUGUCCGGAGCGAAACGGUUGUGGUGAAUAUCCACGACUACUGACGGUACCGGAAGAAUAAGCACCGGCUAACUACGUGCCAGCCGCCGCUGUAACAC